AUGCAAAUCCUCUCACGCUCGAUUACUCGAAGCGUCAGCAGGGUUGCCUCUGCUCUGCCUCGCUGCUGGUUUCCAGCACUUGCGCGAGGAGAUGCUCCACGAAAUCAACAUCUUGAUCGUCUUUUCCUUGAGAAGAGUACACUGAAUUGGCUGCGCCAGUUCUCCAUACAUGGCGUGAAUGAGACGAAGACUAAUAAUGCAUCAGAGGACAGUGUCCAGACGUUAAAGACUAGUUUACCUGAAGAUAUAUGUUACAUGCCGAUAAUUUUAGGGAGCAGCCACCGUGAUGGCGCUAUAUACAAGAGAGCGACUUAUUGGGAACAUAAUUACUUUUUUGAUAUCACUGACCGUACAGAGACUCGGUUGGAGCCAGCGCAUGCAUACGAUAUACCACGUAACAUGAUGCAGAUCUUUUCAAUGAAGUUAGCUAAAGCUCCUAUCAACAGUGGCUCAAUACAGUUAUAUGGAUAUAUAGCAGCACGUGAUGAAGUUGAUCUAAGACUCAAUUAA
rnacentral:rRNA from 1 species